GCCUCAGCUAGCGCCUUCGUUUCCCUAUCCCAUAAGGACCCGCUUGGAGAGAUUUUUUCCAAAAAGGUUCGACAUGCGUCUCCCUCCCCCACAGGAGAACGCGAGACGACCAGAAGCUAGGGUUCUCUCCGCCGCCGCGCACAAACCCUCCGGUCCGGCAACCCUCGCGUCCCUCUCCUAUCCCCAGUUGCCGUUGUAGUCCCCUGCCACCGGUACGGCGCGCGAGGGCGAGAGCCACGCGAAGCGCCAGGCCGGCGAAGGCGCGGGGGAGGAGGAGGAAAAAGAGGAAGCGAGAGGGCGGCCGCGGCGGAAGGAGAUGACCAUCUGAUGUCUCGGUGGGGUAGCCCAACCCACCACUCCUCCUGCGGCGACGACGGCAGAGAGCAGAAGACAAUCUGACAACGCUGCCGCAGAUGAUGAAAUUGGAGAAGCGGUCUUGGUGAUAAGGCCGGUGGACUGAGGAACUACGGAUGUGGUGGCGGAGGACGUAGAGACUACUCAGCCUUGGUCCAGAAUUUUGGCAGAUCACUCAGAGACGGGUGCAUUCCUAUCUCGUCCUUCUCGAUUGAACUAUUUGUCUGUCAUCCCCUUCUCCGAUUGAAGUACAUCAUGCUAGAUACCACAGAGGUUAGUUGGUCUAACUAUAUUUACUAGCUAUUUUAAUCAUGUUACAGAAGCCUCGCUGAACUCCCUUGGUGUUGGUUCUUCUUGAAGUAAAGAAUUUACGUCUAGACUUGGCAUAAUUCAGUUCCUGGAUGAAAAAAAGUUGCAUGUCCUUUGAGUCUGAAAACCAUACUGGGCCUUGGAGCAUGAUGCGGAAAAUUGCAGGUAUUUCCUGCACUUCCUGCACAUGAAGGCGGAUGAUUUUUUUUGGAUGCCACUAUCGUCAGACACAUCGUGUUUAUCAGUGAGUAACUGGUACAAAGUUCAGAUUAUCAGUUUCCAUUCGUGCUGAUGGAUGGAUAGCUUCGUUGCAGUCGUCGGGAGAAAUAUCACCAAUGGUAGGUAGGCUGAGGCGGACGCUAAUACCAAGCGGUCAAUGUAGGAAACCAACCCCGCCUCGUGCCAUUCCCCAUCUUUGUAUUUGUGUUAGGCCCAACUCAAGGUAGAGGAGUAAGAGGAGGCCAGAAAGAAUGAAGCUAGAAGGCAGAAGGCAUUUGAUCUGAAGGCAUGGUUCACAGAAAGUUGUUGAAGUGAAAGAUGAAGAGGAAUUUGUGGAGGAGCUGAAGACAUGACGUGGAAGAAAGAAGAAAGCAAACCCUAAACAUUAUAAUGAUGGAGACUGUUUGAUAUCUUGUUGUUUCAAGAAAUUCUGAUUAAGCGCUCAACCCGUGACCGAGUACUGCCCUGCCUAGACACACGUCCAGGAUGCGGAAGAUGCGGCGCUUGCUGGAAAGCUGGUCAAGUAGGCCCCCACUUUGUGUUUUAGCAGAUUGAUCCUGCACAUCACACUAACUGCUAGAAAUAAGUGGACUCAGAACAAUUUGCAAUCAUCAGUUGGAUAUUUGAUGACUACAAUAUAUGAUGUUUUCUA